GAGGGUAUAGCUCAAGUGGUAGGGCACAUGCUUAGCAUGCACGAGGUCCUGGGUUCAAUACCCAGUACUUCCA
rfam:Camelus ferus unplaced genomic scaffold scaffold273, whole genome shotgun sequence.